rfam:Agrilus planipennis Contig26443, whole genome shotgun sequence.
ACCUAACUAUAGCAUAGUUUCAUUAGAAAGAAAAACAUUUAAUAGCCGUUAUAAUCCUUAGAAAAGGUAGAGGGGUUUUAGUCGGUAGGUCCGAGGACUUCCUCCUCGGGAAUCCGACACUACCCAGUCGUACGGACGGCUGGGUGUCUUUUGAAGAUUUCCCCUCUUCCACGAA